UCUAAGCAGAGCCCUUGAAUGGUAAAGCCGCGAAUGGCUCAUUACAACAGCCACAGUUUAUUGGGUCUCCAUUUACUUGGAUAACUGAGCUAAUUGUUGAGCUAAUACACGCACCAAAGCUUCGACCUCACGGGAGGAGCGCAUUUAUUAGAACAAAACCAAUCGGACUUCGAUCCGUCCAUUGGUGAAUCUAAAUAACUUAGCCGAUCGCAUGGUCUCGCACCGGCGACUCACCUUUCAAAUGUCUGCCUUAUCACCUUUCGAUGGUAGUUUAUACGCCUACCAUGGGUUUUACGGGUAACGGAGAAUAAGGGUUCGACUCCGGAGAGGGAGCCUGAGAAACGGCUACCACAUCCAAGGAAGGCAGCAGGCACGCAAAUUACCCACUCCCGGCACGGGGAGGUAGUGACGAAAAAUAACGAGGCGGUUCUCUAUGAGGCCCGCCAUCGGAAUGGGUACAAUCUAAA
rnacentral:rRNA from 1 species